UCAGGAUCCUCCCGUGUGGGCUUCGGGAAACUUUUUAUGAGCUCUCUGCUCGCGGGCCCCUCCCUCUUGCACCCCCAGCUCCUCCUCUUUGACUGCAGAAGGCACCAGCUGCCCAGCUGAACCCCAGGAUUGUCCACCAGACCCUUCUUUCUUGCAGGGGACAAUAGGGUCUCAGCGGGGCUCAGGGCGAUGGGAAUGAGUAUCUGACGCGCUAGACGGCAGGGCAGACUAGCUAAGAAAGCCAAAGUCUCCCACCCACCACCAAACCGUGGGCGUCCUCAAGAAAUGAGAGCCCCGGGAGCCAGCAGGGCUGGGGGAAAGGUAGGCACAGCGGGGAGAUGCCUCGCCUCGACCUGAGCCCGCACUGGAAAGCCCUGCUGUACCCUUCCAAAGGAGAGCGCUGGCGAGGAGAUGGGAGAGAGGGGCGUGACCGCCCUGCCUCGGGGCGGCGGUUAGAACCCUGUGUCUCCUGGGGUGCCUGCAUUGCCUGGAUUCCAGUCCCCGGUCUGCCUGAGUCCAGCUUCCUGCUAACGUGCACCCUUGGGAGGCAGCAGGUGGUGGCUCAAGUACUUGGGUCACUGCCACCCACGUGAGAGGCCCAGAUUGAGUUCUGGGCUCCCAGCUUCAGCCUGGACCAGCCCCAGCUAUUGCGGGCAUUUGGGCAGUGAACCAGCCCACGGAAGGUGUCUUUCUGUCCCCGUCUCUGCCUUUCGCAUUAGAAGAAAAGAAAAAGAAGCAGGUUCCUACAGGGCUGGAGGCUGGAGGCUGGAAGCUCCACGGAGUUGUUGGAACAGCCAGAGGCGUGGCCAGGUCGUCGCCAGGGGGACGGACUCUUCCCGCACUUUGUCCAGGCUUUUUCCGCUCUGUUCUGCUGGCUCUGGAAAAGGAGAGAUGUUCAUCUUAGCGAUUCUUGAGAUCUUCUCCAACUUUUGUGUUAACGGAUGAAACUCGGCUUCCUGAAGUGAAGUAAUUUGUUCCAGGCUACACACCUCAUCUCUCUCGGCACUACCCAGGUGUGGCUCCAGUGGCGAAGCUCCACCCGCCAGUGACGCGCCAGCGGCCAGGGAUGACGCUCCACCCGCCAAUGACGAAGCUCCACCCAUCAGUGAUGACGCUCCAGCGGCCAGGGAUGACGCUCCAGAGGCCAGGGAUGACGCUCCAGCCGCCAAUGAGCCUUUUCUCACUUCUUUAAAUAUGCCAUGCUUAUUGCUUAUUGCCUCCCCUCUAUCUGGAGCCUUUUCUUUUAAUUCUGGUGGCUGACUCUCAGCCUUAACUAAAGUAUCCAGACCAGAGGUCUUCCUUGACCACCUCAUAUGUGGUCUUACUCAUUGCCCCUCCCAACAAUUUGAUUUAUUUUCACUGUAGAAUUUAGCUAUAUAAGAUCAUUUAUGUAUGUAUGUAUGUAGAAAGACAAGGAAGUGUGGGCCAUCUCCUGGAUCCGAUGUCAUUCCUGGUACCGAGAGAGUCUGAGGGAAGCAUGCUUUGCCAAGGAGAUCUGGAAAGGCUCCAAGUUCACAAGAUUCUUUGUUGAUGUACAAAUCCCGAAACUCUUUUAUGUAGUUGUAGCCCAUUUGAAAGUGCAGUUUUGUGUUCUCCUCAUGGAGCCUUGCCCAUACGUAUUGCCACACGUAAUAGAUUUUUGUACAUGUUGUCUUCAGUGAAAGCAUCAAAUAGUUCUCUCUUUCCUUAGUCAGCUCUCAGUUUUAGGGAAGUUACACGCUUUCAACUUCCCUGAUAUACAAAACGAGGCUCUAAACAUAUUUGUACAAAUGGCUCCUCCUCUCUUUUGAAUUAUUCCUCUGUGGUACAUUUAACAAAACGGAAUUAUUGGAUCAAACAGUAGGAGACAUUUUAUAGCUCUUGUUAGUGCCAAAUGAGGCAAUAUUUGGAGGGCAGGGGUUAUGAAACUCUCAUAAAAUAUUUAAAGAUUGGUUAUGAAGAGGAAUUUGACUUACUCCGAUGGCGCACCCUGGCAGGUGACCGGGAAAUCUUGCAGCUAUACAGAAGUAGAUAAGGUCCUAUGCACAAGAGUUUUUAACAUUUAGAGCUGCCCCAAAUGGGACAAGCUUUUUCCAUAGAUAGUAAGUCCCCCUUUGCUGAGAAUUUUAAGCAUAAUGAGUUUAAGAAAUAGAGAGAUUGCUUUCUAAGCUCUUCUGAUUUGUGAUCUAUAUAUUUCCCUAGCCUCAUUCCUUUGCACCAAAACAGUUUGUUAAACGAGCAUUUAUUAAUACAUAACACGUUGCAACUGCGUAGCUGCAGCCUCAAGCCCUCACUGACAGACGUCUAGCAGAUUCAGAGUCUCCUGCGGCAUCCAAUCUGGGGAUUCCAACGGCAGUGAAGCCAGAGCCUUCCACCGCCCCAAACUCGAGAACGGCCAAGUGGGUGGGUCAAGGUGCUCCACUUCCUGGACAUCUCCUUUUCUGUGCUCCUGGUCUUCCUACAGAUCUCUGUUCACACUGCUCCUCUCCUACGACCCCCAGCACAAAGCUCUGCAUGUGCUGUGCGGAGCCAAGCCCAAGCACCCACGGGACUGACUCCAAGGGAUUGUUACAUUAUCUUGUUUUAUUUCUGUGAAAAGACAUUUGCAUUUCAGAUGAGGAGUUUGGAACUCCAAAGAGUCUGUAAUCGGGGGAAUCCAGCACUCCUAAUUUAGCUCCCACCAUGAACACAUGUUUACACACACUCUGUCUCUUCCAGGCAAACACUAGAAGUUCAUUUCUUGAAUGAACCAUUGCUUAACAACCUUCUUUCUUUCUUUCUUUCUUUCUUUCUUUCUUUCUUUCUUUCUUUCUCUCUCUCUCUCUCUCUCUCUCACUCUCUCUCUCUCUUUCUUUCUUUCUUUUUUUUUUUGUAAAACUACUUUGCAUGGUAAAAUAUAGUCUCAAAAUUCCAAGUUUGGCCUAGGAGGAAAAGUCCCGAUUGAGAAUGGAGUCUCAACCAUAAUCUCAGAAUUAUGCUUUUUCUUAUUUAUUUUAUUUUUUGACAGGCAGAGUUAGACAGUGAGAGAGAGAGAGAGAGAGAGAGAGAGAGAGAGAGAGAAAGGUCUUCCUUUUUCCGUUGGUUCACCCCCCAAGUGGCCGCUACGGCUAGCGUGUUGUGGCCAGCACGCUGCGCUGAUCCCAAGCCAGGAGCCAGGUGCUUCCUCCUGGUCUCCUAUUUGGGUGCAGGGCCCAGGGACCUGGGCCACUGCCCUCCCGGGCCACAGCAGAGAGCUGGACUGGAAGAGGAGCAACCGGGACAGAAUCCGGCGCCCCAAUAGGGAUAGAACCCGGUGUGCCGGCACCCGCAGGCAGAGGAUUAGCCUAGUAAGCCACGGUGCCGGCCUUUGCUUUUUCUUAGAGUACAUGUUGCUGAAUUCUUCUGCCACCACCACACUGGCCUCAGGGAAGCCCCUUUCCCUUCUCGAAGUUCCUCCAGAGUGCAGUGUGAGACUGUCCCCAAGCCAGGAGAAGAACCCGUCUGUAGGCCUCCCAGUGCAGAUGGAGGAGAGCACAGGGGUGAGCUGGAAACCUGGGCUCUAUUCCAGUGGCCCCAGUGGCACCACUGCUGCCUGCACGCGCUUGAGCCUGAGCCUUGGCCACUGCGUCAUCAGUGGCCUCCUUCCCUUCUGAAAGGCUCAGUAAAGUCAACAAGCAUGGGAGCACUUUGCAAAUAUCAGGGCCACAGCCAACUGUGCCCUGUGAACAUGUUGCAGAGAGUGGGUGGGUCUUGUCUUGUCAAUAUGAGUUUUUAAAAUGUCUCCUUUGUGCCCAACAGAGAGUAUUUAGAGGGCUGUUUGGCUUUUUAAAAUUUGUAUUCCUAAUGUUGAAGCUGCGAAUCAGAAGCCUAGUUCUCUCUUAAGCUUCUAUUUGUAACGAACAAAGAAAUAAAA